GGUCAUCGGGUUGCAUCAUGAAAUGAUGCCGUUUCAACGCCAAUCCGCAUGGCUUAAAACAACACCAUUUUUAAACACAUAAAAGCUAAAAUCUAUCCUAAACAUCAAUUAGCGGAUUAUUUCCUCAAAAGAAAGCCCUAAAUCAUUUCUUUAAAACUCUUAACCUCUCAUGCGAACCUCAACGGCGCCGAAAUUAGCUUUCAUCUCCGCCAUGGCUUCAACCGGCCCUAGGGAUCCGUGUGCCUUUGGAUCGGAGGAGCAAACACCAAUUGGAUCGACGCCAAAUGACUGGUGUGUAUGACGUGGAGAAGCUGUUCGUGGGCGUGGACAGAGGGGACGUUCGUUGGGGCUGAUUCCAUGCGAGGCUACGGCACAAACUGGUCCUAGGGUUUCAGCUCUUGGAGCCGAAGUUUGGGCCAUCUAGGCUAUUUUAGGAAUGGGCUGGGAUUUGGGUUAUUUAGUAAUUGGGCUGGGUUUAUUUGGGUUGUUUUAUGUAAUUGGGUCAUGGACUGUUUUGGACUAAUGGACUUUUAUUGUUUUCGGGGUUUUUACCUUUUUCUGUUUUAUUUUGGUUUUGGUUCUGAUAUAAGCCCGGGCGAAAUGGGCUUAUUACAAGGGUAACACAUACAUGACGAAUGCUAGGAAAUGUG